AUAGCAUGCAUCAACUGUUAGACAUUAUAUCAUGUCUAUUUAUUUAUUUUAAACAAUUCUAAGAUAUAUAUAUAUAUAUGUAAAGAUUGUGUUUUACAUAUAUAAGAACCAGUAACACACACACACACACACACACACACACACACACCAAGUAGUUUUGGUUUUGUGUGAGGUAUCUCCUCCUCCUUCUCCUCCGCCUUGUUCCCCAGUUUUUUUUACUCCCACUCCCCUUCUUGACUGUUCUCACUCAUCCUCCGAUUUCACUCAAGCCACAGAAACAAGCGAAUAACAAGCAAACCGCAACCGACCGUUUCAUCGUCGUCCUUAUCAUAUUCUUCCCCUCAUCUUGGACAUACAGGCAUUUUUUUUUGUAAUUCCUUGUCACCAAGACAGAAACGAGACACCACUUUAAAAAGAUACCAGUUAUUACUUGGCGAGUGUGUGUGUAUAUACACACACAUACACACGCACACACACACACAUACAUAUAGACAUCAAAGCACAUAUAUGUACAAGUUAAUACACAGAUAUAUAUAUUUAUUAAAAAAAAACGAAAGGAAAAUGGAUUUUCCCAAACGUGAAGAUAAAGUGACCACUUCUUAAUGAGCACUUACAUUUAGUAUAUCUGUAUAUACUUAUAUAAGUGUGUGUGUGUGCGUGUGUAUAUAUAUAUGUGAAUGCUAAAGAAAAAAAAUAACUGGCAAAUAUAUACAUUAUUUAUUGAAUGUACGGAUAUAUAUACAAUUUGAAAAUAACCUCAUGACAACAGCGUGUAUAAUAAUCAGAGAGAUUCAGUAGUCUCUUAAACGAAGAGGAUUCCGGAAGUUCAGAAAAACAUGAGAGGCUUGAGGCAAUGAAGGAAAAAUCGAAAAAUGCGGCGCGCACCCGGAGGGAAAAAGAAAAUGCGGAAUUUUACGAAUUGGCAAAGUUGUUACCAUUGCCGUCCGCCAUUACAAGUCAGUUGGACAAAGCCUCCAUAAUCAGAUUAUCAACAAGUUAUCUCAAGAUGCGAGCUGUGUUUCCAGACGGUCUUGGAGAUGCGUGGGGUCACAGGUCAACACCUAAAACCGCCUUAGAGAAGGAGCUGGGUUCUCAUUUGUUGCAGG